CUAGACAUAAAUACAAUUCCUACAUUUACCAGAGUACUACGAACAUUAAGUUUAAAACUCAAAGAGCUUGGCGGUGCUUUAGACUCCUCAGGGGAACCUGUCUCAUAAUCGACAGUCCACGAAUCAACCUCACCUUCUCUCGCUAAUCAGUAUGUAUACCGUCGUCGCCAGGUAACUUUUAAAAACAAAGAAGUUAGCAAUCAAACACUUCAAUUUCUACGUCAGAUCAAGGUGCAGCCUAUGAGAAGGAGAAGAUGGGUUACAAUUAAGAUUUAUAACUACGAAUAUUACCUCUAACAGGUUUUUGAAGGAGGACUUGAAAGUAAAGAUCAGUAAUUAAAUAUCUUGAAUUAAGCUCUGAAGCG
rnacentral:rRNA from 1 species